GGGGAUGUUUUGGUUUUGACAUCAGAUUAAUUGGAAAGUAAGCAUGUCCGGCGUUGUGGGUAUGGCCGGUCAACCUAACCUUCAAGCCUAUAACUGGCAAUAACAACUAUGCACUCGCUGCUUAAUUAGGCCAAGCUUAAUUGCUUAAUCGCUCGGCCCAGGGCCGUCGCGACGAGUAUCCCGCCGGAACUUUAUGGUCCGCUAUGCUUCCGGCAUACGGGGUAUCAUCCCAAACGGACUGCGUGCGUGGACUCCUCUAUAACGCACUAAGAUUCAGAGGAUAAGGAUUGGAUGGCCUGUCUCCCGGCAGUCCCUUCCCCACAAUCAAAGAGAGAAUAAGCAUGUAGAAAGCUUUUUGGUGGUCUGCUUGGACCCGGGUUCGACUCCCGGCAUCUCCACU
rnacentral:tmRNA from 1 species